ACACACACACACACGAGGUAUCUCCAACUGCAUGCAAGAACAACCUGGAGAGACUUUGAUAGUUCAGGUCAGCAUAAUACCUGCAGCUGCCACUCGCCUUUCCUAUAUCU